rnacentral:rRNA from 1 species
CUAAGGCCAGCGAGAGAACUGUUGUUAAGGAACUCGGCAAAAUGACCCCGUAACUUAGGGAGAAGGGGUGCCACCAUAAGGUGUCCGUAGAGAAUAGGCCCAGGCGACCGUUGACCAAAAACAUAGGGUGCUGCGAAGGCGAAAGACGAUGUAUAGGAGCUGACGCCGGCCCGGUGCUGGAAGGUUAAGGGGAUCUGUUAGAGCAAUCGAAGCAGUGAACUUAAGCCCCAGUAAACGGCGGCCGUAACUAUAACGGUCCUAAGGUAGCGAAAUUCCUUGUCGGGUAAGUUCCGACCCGCACGAAAGGCGUAACGAUUUGGGCACUGUCUCAACAACAGACUCGGUGAAAUUGUAAUUCCGGUGAAGAUGCCGGAUACCUGCGACAGGACGGAAAGACCCCAUGGAGCUUUACUGUAGCUUGACAUUGGGUCUUGGUACUACAUGUACAGGAUAGGUGGGAGGCUUUGAAACCAGGACGCCAGUUUUGGCGGAGCCAUCCUUGGGAUACCACCCUUGUAGUACUGGGACUCUAACCAUAGGCCAUGAAUCUGGUCUUGGGACACUGUCAGGUGGGCAGUUUGACUGGGGCGGUCGCCUCCCAAAAGGUAACGGAGGCGCUCAAAGGUUCUCUCAGUACGGUCGGAAAUCGUACGUAGAGUGUAAAGGC